rnacentral:rRNA from 1 species
UUGCCAGCUCGUCCUCCGGGGAUGGUGGGGACGACUGUUGGGACCGCCUCUGCUAAAGAGGAGGAAGGGAAUGGGCAACGGUAGGUCAGCAUGCCCCGAAUUAUCUGGGCUACACGCGGGCUACAAUGGGUGGGACAAUGGGUAUCGACACCGAAAGGUGAAGGCAAUCUCCUAAACCCAUCCGUAGUUCGGAUUGUGGGCUGCAACUCGCCCACAUGAAGCUGGAAUCUGUAGUAAUCGUGUCUCAAAAUGGCACGGUGAAUAUGUCCCUGCUCCUU